rnacentral:rRNA from 1 species
UACAGAGGUCUCAAGCGUUGUUCGGAUUCAUUGGGCGUAAAGGGCGCGUAGGCGGUCGUGACAAGUCACUUGUGAAAUCUCCGGGCUUAACUCGGAACGGUCAAGUGAUACUGUCGGACUAGAGUACAGAAGGGGCAACUGGAAUUCUCGGUGUAGCGGUGAAAUGCGCAGAUAUCAGGAAGAACACCAAUGGCGAAAGCAGCUCUCUGGGACGGUACUGACGCUGAGACGCGAAAGCGUGGGGAGCGAACAGG